rnacentral:lncRNA from 1 species
UCUCUUGCUAAUUGGAGCAUGUGUCUAUCCUUUGCAAUGAACCAGUUCAGUAGUCCACCUCAUAGAGUUCCCAAGAGAACCAUCAGGAUCAAUGAAAGGUAUAGUUUCUCCCCAACAACAAAACCAACACCUUCUCCAGCCUGGAUUCAGAUGGCAGAUGAGGUCAGAGAGGACCUCCAUAAGCCUCAUUUAUCCAUACAAGAAAAUGUUCAUUCUGAGGAUGAAUUGCAGAAAAACCAGAUUAAAAUAAUUUUGAAUGCCUUUAUGACUCAGAUACUUCCAUACCCCAAGGAACUGAGGACACCAAGAAAGUUGGGACAGCCUGUUUUUAAAAUUGCAAACAGAGUGAAAAGGGAUACAUAAUGAGCAUGACCACAAUUCUGGAAAGGACCAGUUUCACCCUGCCUCUCAACAUUGGCCAAGAGCACAAGUUUCCAUCUUACUGUUGCAGUCCUGUCGGUGCUCAUCAAUGAUGAGCUCACUUAAGACUGCAGUGACAGUGAGAAAACUAGCAAACGUGUUUAAAUAUUGUUGCCUAAAUAUCUGGAAGACUGUAUGACAGCUAUUUUGUUGUUCUUCUAAGUAGAAAUAUCCUAUUAGAUAUCAAUGCAAAAGCUAAAUGACUUUGAAAUCUAAGCCAGUCUCCUGGACUAAUUAUUUCAUAAGCUGGUCACUGUAACAGGUAUGUCCACUUUGCCCAGAAUGAGCAUCUUAACUAUAAAAUCCUUUUGUCACUUGAGUAAAUGCCCUACCUUGAUGCAGAUCAACAUGUGAUAUGUAUAAACUUG